rnacentral:ncRNA from 1 species
UUAAUUUUUUGUUCUGUUAAAUUUGUAUAACAUAUUUUCAAAGUUUUAUUUUGGCUUAAAAAUUUGGUAUUUGGUAAUUUUACAUGUAAGCUUAAGUUUAAAUAUUAGUUUGGGCAGUAAAUAGAUUUAAUGAUUAAGGAAGUUUAGAAUUAGAUAUUCAUUAGAGUAUAGACAAAUCUUGUGCCAGCAGUUGCGGUUACACAUGAUAUACCCCUGAAUUUUAUUCGGGUGAUAAUUAUCCUGGGGCUAGAAAUUAGAAUUGAUUAUAUAAGGUGAAAUUUUGUGAUUGGUUUAAUUUAUUUGAUGAGGAAAUAUUAUUAGAUUUUUUAGUAUAGACUAGGAUUAGAUACCCUAUUAUUGGAAGUAUAAAAUUUAACUCCUGAGAAGUAUUAGAUGUUCUUGAAAUUUAAAAAAUUUGGCGGUGUUUUAGUCUAUUCAGAGGAACCUGUCCUGUAAUUGAUAAUCCACGAUUAAUAAAACUUGUUUUUUUAGUUUGUAUAUCGUCGUUAAUUGAAUAUCUUUAAAGGGAAAAAUAUUCAGGAUUUAAGACUUGAAUAUAAAUCAGAUCAAGGUGCAGCUUACAGGCAAGGAGAGAUGGGUUACAAUGAAUUUAUUUAUAUGGUUUAAGAAGUGAGAUUUUUUUAAUAAAUAGGAUUUGAUAGUAAAGUGAAUAAUUUAAUUUAUUUGAUUACAGCUCUAAAAUAUGCACAUAUCGCCCGUCGCUCCCACCAUAAGGUUGGAUAAGUCGUAACAAAGUAGGUGUACCGGAAGGUGUACCUGGAAAGU